rnacentral:sRNA from 1 species
GCCGGGGCGCCCUUCCCCCCUAGAGCGGA